CAAUAGCGUAUAUUAAAGUUGUUGCGGUUAAAAAGCUCGUAGUUGGAUUUCUGCCGAGGACGACCGGUCCGCCCUCUGGGUGUGUAUCUGGUUUGGCCUGGGCAUCUUCUUGGAGAACGUAGCUGCACUUGACUGUGUGGUGCGGUGUCCAGGACUUUUACUUUGAGGAAAUUAGAGUGUUUCAGGCAGGCUCGCGCCGGAAUACAUUAGCAUGGAAUAAUGGAAUAGGACUUUAGCCUCUUCUGUUGGUCUGAGGGGUUGAAGUAAUGAUUAAUAGGGAUAGUUGGGGGCAUUAGUACUUAACUGUCAGAGGUGAAAUUCUCGGAUUUGUUAAAGACUAACUUAUGCGAAAGCAUUUGCCAAGGAUGUUUUCAUUAA
rnacentral:rRNA from 1 species